AUUUAGAGCAAGGCUGGUCCUUGCGUGACAGAAAACUGCUCAUUGUUGGCAAAGGAACUCCUUGCCUAUUAGAGACUGGACUUCUGAUGAUGGGAUAUCAAUUAACUAUAUAACCUGAGUCUACAUGAUCCCAUCAGAUCUCCCAAGUCACAAGGUUAGGCAGACCCCCAGCAAUCCGUCGUUUGGUAGAAAUGGCACCUAUGCACAUUGGACCCUGAAAGAUCUGGAGGACACAACGUAAGAGGAAAAGGACCAGAUGAAAUGUCAGUGUCAACAACGGCCAAGUUGUCCCCUUAACAGGAAGACAAUAUGGGUGAUAUCUGGGUUACCCGGACAGUGUAAAAUAAUGAAUCACCAAAACCUCACCUUAAGAUGGGGUUUCACCAUGUUAGCCAGGAUGGUCUUGAUC